rnacentral:rRNA from 1 species
GCAGUCGACGGGCAUAGCAAUAUGUCAGUGGCAGACGGGUGAGUAACGCGUGGGAACAUACCUUUUGGUUCGGAACAACUCAGGGAAACUUGAGCUAAUACCGGAUAAGCCUUUCGAGGGAAAGAUUUAUCGCCAUUAGAGCGGCCCGCGUAGGAUUAGCUAGUUGGUGGGGUAAAGGCCCACCAAGGCUACGAUCCUUAGCUGGUCUGAGAGGAUGAUCAGCCACAUUGGGACUGAGACACGGCCCAGACUCCUACGGGAGGCAGCAGUGGGGAAUUUUGGACAAUGGGCGAAAGCCUGAUCCAGCAAUGCCGCGUGCAGGAAGAAGGCCUUCGGGUUGUAAACUGCUUUUGUACGGAACGAAAAGGUCUGCCCUAAUACGGCGGGCCCAUGACGGUACCGUAAGAAUAAGCACCGGCUAACUACGUGCCAGCAGCCGCGGUAAUACGUAGGGUGCGAGCGUUAAUCGGAAUUACUGGGCGUAAAGCGUGCGCAGGCGGUGAUGUAAGACAGUUGUGAAAUCCCCGGGCUCAACCUGGGAAUUGCAUCUGUGACUGCAUCGCUAGAGUACGGUAGAGGGGGAUGGAAUUCCGCGUGUAGCAGUGAAAUGCGUAGAUAUGCGGAGGAACACCGAUGGCGAAGGCAAUCCCCUGGACCUGUACUGACGCUCAUGCACGAAAGCGUGGGGAGCAAACAGGAUUAGAUACCC